UACGGGGGGAGCAAGCGUUGUUCGGAUUUACUGGGCGUAAAGGGCGCGUAGGCGGUCAGCACAAGUCAGUUGUGAAAUCUCCGGGCUUAACUCGGAACGGUCAACUGAUACUGUGCGACUAGAGUGCAGAAGGGGCAACUGGAAUUCUCGGUGUAGCGGUGAAAUGCGUAGAUAUCGAGAGGAACACCUGCGGCGAAGGCGGGUUGCUGGGCUGACACUGACGCUGAGGCGCGAAAGCCAGGGAGCGAACGGG
rnacentral:rRNA from 1 species